GGCCUGGUAGUUCAGCUGGUUAGAAUGCCGCCCUGUCACGGCGGAGGUCGUGGGUUCGAAUCCCAUCCAGGUCGCCA
rnacentral:tRNA from 4 species